rnacentral:rRNA from 1 species
AAACAUUGAUUGUUUACCACAUCAAACAUCCGCCCGGGAAUUACGAACACUAGUUUAAAACCCAAAGGACUUGGCGGUGCUUAACAUCCACCUAGAGGAGCCUGUUCUAGAACCGAUAACCCCCGUUUAACCUCACCCUCCCUAGUUUUCUCCCGCCUAUAUACCACCGUCGCCAGCUUACCCUGUGAAGGCCUAAUAGUAAGCACAAUUGGCACAGCCCAAAACGUCAGGUCGAGGUGUAGUGCAUGAGAGGGGAAGAAAUGGGCUACAUUCGCUGCCUACAGCGAAUACGAAUGGUGCAUUGAAAUAUGCAGCUGAAGGAGGAUUUAGCAGUAAGCAGAAAGCAGAGUGUUCC